rnacentral:tRNA from 1 species
AGUUGUGUAAUGGAUAGCACGGCAGACCGGAUAUCUGUAAGUGCGGGUUCGAGUCCCGCCU